rnacentral:rRNA from 1 species
GAUGAACGCUGGCGGCGUGCCUAAUACAUGCAAGUCGAGCGAACAGACGAGGAGCUUGCUCCUCUGACGUUAGCGGCGGACGGGUGAGUAACACGUGGAUAACCUACCUAUAAGACUGGGAUCACUUCGGGAAACCGGAGCUAAUACCGGAUAAUAUAUUGAACCGCAUGGUUCAAUAGUGAAAGACGGUUUUGCUGUCACUUAUAGAUGGAUCCGCGCCGCAUUAGCUAGUUGGUAAGGUAACGGCUUACCAAGGCAACGAUGCGUAGCCGACCUGAGAGGGUGAUCGGCCACCCUGGAACUGAGACACGGUCCAGACGCCUACGGGAGGCAGCAGUAGGGAAUCUUCCGCAAUGGGCGAAAGCCUGACGGAGCAACGCCGCGUGAGUGAUGAAGGUCUUCGGAUCGUAAAACUCUGUUAUUAGGGAAGAACAAAUGUGGAAGUAACUAUGCACGUCUUGACGGUACCUAAUCAGAAAGCAACGGCUAACUACGUG